rnacentral:ribozyme from 14 species
UAUGAAUGAAGCAAAAUAUAACAAAGUAAGACUAAAUAAAUAGCAUGUAUCUUCUUUUUCCUUUCUUUUUUUGUCUUUUCCUUUUUAUCUUUCUUUUUUUUCUUUUUGAGUAAUUUGUCAAAC